rnacentral:rRNA from 1 species
CUGCCUCGGCUGGAAACCGAUACAUCUGUGUCGGGCUGUAGCCUGCAGGCAUAGCGCUAUCGGCGGCUCGAGCGCAAGCCUCUUGGAAUAGAGCGUGUGCCCGGGUGAGAAUCCUGCAUUUCGCUCGAUGUCCGCUGUCCACAGUGCUUGUUCUGAGAGUCACGCUCCUCGGAAUUGGAGCGUAAAUCAGGUGGUAAGUUUCAUCCAAAGCUAAAUAGAAGCUCGAGACCAAUAGCAAACAAGUACCAUGAGGGAAAGAUGAAAAGGACUUUGGAAAGAACAUUAAAAGUGUUUGAAAUUGCUGAGAGCGAAGCGAACGGAGCCACAUGUCGUGCUGAGAUUGCUGUGGGUCUUUGUGAGCCUUGAGCAUGUAAGCGCAAGCUGACUGCUUAUGCGUGAGCAUUUGUCCGCAGUGUUUCUCAGCAUGCGAGUCAUUAGCCACAUUUGUUUGAGGAUGGCCUUCAGCUCACAUGGGACACUUGUUAGUGUGCCUCUGUGCGGGGUGGGACUCAAACAGGUGUGGCUUGUUGACCCACUGGUUUUUUUUGACCCCUCUGGAAACACCGACCAAGGAG